rnacentral:rRNA from 1 species
CGGAGGAAGGCGGGACGACGUCAAAUCAUCAUGCCCCUUAUGACCUGGGCUACACACGUGCUACAAUGGUUGGUACAACGAGUUGCGAGUCGGUGACGGCGAGCUAAUCUCUUAAAGCCAAUCUCAGUUCGGAUUGUAGGCUGCAACUCGCCUACAUGAAGUCGGAAUCGCUAGUAAUCGCGGAUCAGCACGCCGCGGUCGAAUACGUUCCCGGGCCUU